rnacentral:rRNA from 1 species
CCCUUUAGACGGGGACAACAUUCCGAAAGGGGUGCUAAUACCGGAUGUGACGCUCCUAUCGCAUGACGGGAGCGUGAAAGAUGGCCUCUACAUGUAAGCUAUCGCUAAAGGAUGGGCCUGCGUCUGAUUAGCUAGUUGGUAGUGUAACGGACAACCAAGGCGAUGAUCAGUAGCCGGUCUGAGAGGAUGAACGGCCACAUUGGGACUGAGACACGGCCCAG